UAACUGCAAUGCGAAACAAGGAAAUUUAAGGAGAAAAUUACAGCACCGAACGUGAAUAGGAUAAUAUAAGUAAUUCAUUGUUACUGCUUCGUGACGGUAACGCUUUUGAACUUUGAACCGAGCCAGACUCAUAGACGGCAGAUUCAUCGUCCUCCUUACAAGAACGCAGACACCAACGAUACCGAAGAAGAAAAGGAAUUCGAAAGGGAUCCAUUUUUGAAAAUGACUCGACGAAAUGAACCUUAUAUAGUGAUAUAAAGCCAAUAAAAGCAAAAGGGAGAUGUCUUUUCUCGAGAGAAAAUUCUUUCUUCGAGAAGAUAUGAUUAUCGUCGAUGUGGAAGGAGGAACGUAAUUGAUUUCCAAAAUUAAUUAGUUACCAAUCGAAUAUACGUAAGAACAAGGAGGUAUUCUCUUAUUCGUGAAAAUCAAGAGGUUAUUUGAACACACAGGUACGAUUCUGAUUUUCCACUCAUUCACCUGUAACGACAUUCUUUCAUGAAAUGGAGUUUAUCGAUCUUUCAGAAAUGGAGACCGAGAAUAUAAAGAACGACCUUGUUCUUUAUCUGUUUUCGACUUAUUGACAUCUUUUCGAACGAUUUUGUAUUCUUCGAAAUUCUUUCUAAAUGUUUAUGAAAAAAAAAAAACAAAAAAAAAAAAAAAAGAAAAAAAGAAUUGAUAAAUAUUUUUGCCUCCUUGUAAAACGAGAAAAUUUAAUUUGAUUUUUCCUCGUCUGGGAUCCGGAAAAUAUUAAACGUGUACGAUUAAUAUCUAUUUCGAAGAAUUUCGAAAUUUCUUUAUUUUUAUUUUUUAUUUAAUUUAAUUUUAUUUAAUUAAAAUUUAUUUAUUUAUCUUCUUUUAUUUAUUUAUGUAUUUUUUUUUUCUUUUCUUUUCUUUUCUUCAAAGAAGACGAACUUCAUGAAAGUCGUCAGUGCAAAAAAAGAAAAAAAAAAAAUGAAAAUUCCGCUCUCGGUUACGUUGGACAGAGAUGAAAGAGGGUAACACGAUGAAACAUUUUACGCGGCGCGCCCGGAAAUUCAGCUUUCCGGAUUUCGUUUGGCUUCCGCGGCCGCGAUACGCGUCGUAAUCCGAGUGGCAUUGCGGGUCACUCGCGUCAAAACAUUUCGUGAAACUUUCCUCGUCCUCGUCUAGAGUCGCAAUUUUUUUUCGUUCUUUCUUUCUCUCUCUCUCUCUCUCUCCUCCCCCUCCCUCCCUCCCUCUCUCUUUCUCUAUCUUUUCGCUUUUUUAUGAUUUUAAUUUAGAAAGUCCCUUCGAGUUCUAUCUCGACCCACCUCGCAAAAUUAAAACGGAUCCAGGGCAAUUAUCUUUUACGAGAUCGAACUUAAUCUCGCUAUGGAAAUUAAUUUUGUAAUUUUCAUAUCCAAACUUCUUCCUCUCCGCCUCCUUUUUCUCUCUCCUUCUUCCUUAACGAGUUUUAGACGCGACAUACUUAUUUUCUGGGUCAGAAGUAUAGCCAGUGUUUCUCUAACCGAGCAAGAAAUAUCCCUCUCAGCAGUUUUAUCGCUCGACUUAAUGAAAAAUGAGAGCAUUGUGUAAUAUAAUCAAUAAUAAUAAUUUUUAUCGAGUAGAGAUAGAAUACCGAAGUGAAUAUUCGUAGUUUAUUUGUGUAUAUGUAGAGAGAGAGAGAGAGAGAGAGAGAGAGAGAGAGAGAGAGAGAGAGAGACAGAAAGAGAGGAACAGAGAGAGAGAGAGAGAAUAAUGUGCGUUAAUUAACAGGUAGAGGAUUGCCUAUUAAUUUACAGGCAGACGGUCAUUCGCAUACCAAGAAACAUUUGAAACUGCUGACGUUACAAUGGUUUCGCACCGAAUAGGAUCUUUAUUCGGUAAUUUAACGUUCACUAAGCUAAUCACUGAGCUCCGUCUUAAGCACGUCGUCAUGUCGAUAUAAUGUUGCUCGUAUAAUCGACGCUAAAAAGGAAAGUUCAAUGAGAAUUUCCAAGCUUCAUCGAUUUGCAAGCUCAAGAGAACCUUUUAUGUAUUUAAGGAACGAUCCAGUACUUUUAAUUGAGCGAUAUUUCAUUUCGAAGAAGAAGUUUGCCAUUAAUUACGAGUUCGUUCUUGUGUGAAUACUUUGGUUUGAAAAUUUUCGUUAGUGUCGUUAUGCGGUUUAAUUGAAAAUAAAUUUGCUUUUUUUUUUUCGAUUGUUUAUUUUUUCUUUCUCUCUUUUUUUUUCUUUUUUUCUUUUUUCUUUUCUUUUCUUUACUUUCUUUUUUUUUUUUUUCUUUCUUCUUCUUCUUUUAACUUAUUAUACUUGAAUCAAUCAUUUUUAAGAAAUGUUACGUCAGUAUUGGGAUAAUGGAAUGUAAGGUUGAAAUUUUAUCGUAUUCUGAAAUCAUACAAUUUCUGUGAUGAUCAAAAAUAAAGAGUAAGACGAUAUAGCAGGAUAGAAGGUUUGGGUUUACUGCGGUAAAACUGAACAGGCUCGUAAUUCCCGGUAUUGGCUAGUUCCUCGAGUUUAAUUUCGACUUUCGAAGUCCGACAUCGUAACCACGACGAGUUAAGCCGGAAUAAUAACGUUAGUUUCCAAUUGGUCUACCCUUGAGAAUGAAUAUUUCAAUUUUCUUAAGUUAGGUUAAUUUUAUUAAAGAAAAAGUACCAUGACGAAACCCAUUUCAAAAUGUUUUAUACGUCAUCUUUUUUUUUUCUUUUUUUUUUUUUCCCCUUUAUUUCCUAUUACUCCCAUUAAUGGUUAAUGGAAAUAUUAACCAUAAAUGGUUAAUGGAAAGCAUCUUUAAAUAGAAACAUAAUGUCAAAAGUAAACAGAAUAGAAGUUUUUGUAGCAUCGAAAAAUUAGCCUUUCUUUGGACUUUAUUUUUAAAAAGACACGGAUCCUUACAGCUUUAAAAGAAAAGAACUAGUACUGAAUGGUACGUGCAAUACUUAGCUGGUCUCAUUUCAGAGGAAAAAUACGAAAUGGCUUUAGUACCUGGAAAAUAUUUUUUACAGCACGUUAAAAGUAGUUCACCAAAAGAAAAGAAAAAAACAAAUAGAAAAGAAAAGAAAAAGAAACAAAAAAAAAAAAAAAGAAGGAAAAGAAACAGGAAUUGCUU